GAACUCUGGGGAUUAGUCAAAUCCCUACAUUCUCCCCAUAAACACUCCGAAGCCCAGAGAGCUGACCUGGCCAGCCCAAGGUCACAGAACUAGUUCGUGUCAAGGUUGACGUUAGAAUCUGAACUCUGGCCCAGACACACGGAGUGCUGGUGAGGAAUGAUAAUUAUGAUAACAGGAACAGUAAUGAUAAUGUUUACUGAGUACUCCCUACGUGUGUGCCAGACACUAUUCUAAAAGUUUUGCAUGCAUUAAUUCCUUUAAUCCUUACCAAAACCUUAUGAGAGAGAGAUCAUCAUUAUUUCUAAUUUACAGAUGAGGAGACCGAAACUCAGAGUAAUGAAGGGACAGCUAGUGAGUAGUCAAGCCAGGACUGGAUUCUGGGAAAUGAUAUUUCAGACCUAGAACUUAUAAAACCACUGAUGUUUUCACUGCUCUGUGGUAAAAUGAAAGAAAUAAGGACAGGGCUGUGCAUUUUUCGUAUAAGCUGGAUUUAUCCCAUUUAAAACACCAACUUUUAUUAUAAUCUCUAUUUAUUUUAGAAUAUUAAAAAUUCUCUUUUAUGAGAAAUUAGAGUAUAUGGGACUUGUUGGCAUUCCACAAAUUUUGUUUUCUGAUAAAAAUAUAUUCUGGAAGCUGUUUAUGUAUAUGAAAUUGCAGAGCCUGGAAAGCACUUUCUUGCAUUAUCUGUCACUUGUGGGAAUUCUAGGAGAAAUCUUAGUUGCAUUUGUUUCCUUUGCCAGUUUCUGGUUCCUGGAAUGGGGGAGGGGGCACUUGCAGGGUGGAGAAUGACUAAAAUUUAUUAUGUUCUUUUCAUCAAUCAGGACUCAUUUGAUGGCAAAUAAAUAACAAGUACAAUGAGUAUAUAUUGGUUAAUUUACCUGAGACAUUUGGGGAUCAGUGAUUUGACUUAUGUCUUAAAUUUUAUGGCUUUGCUCUUUACCACAUAUUGGCUUAAUUCUAAGGCUCCAUGGGCCCAACAUGGCUGCCAACAGCUUCAGUCCUUUCCUGUUUCAAGUUCAGAGGGGAAAAGGAUCUCUCUCCCUAGUAGGUCCUAUGUAGGAUUGUACUUUGAUCUGCCUGAGUUACGGUGAUCCCUGAAGGAGUCACUACAGCUGGGGGUAGAUUUAUGCUACUUGGCCAGUUCUGAGUUACAUAUUAUACUCCUGAAGCUGGUGGUGGGAUCGGCUCCACUGGCAGCAUUUACUCUGAUGGAAGGAAGAAGAUGGUUCUCAAAAGGGGAAAUUAUACACUGUUGCCAAAGGAGCAGAUGCUUGAUCGUUAAGCCAGCAAAUGUAUGUCACUCACUAGGCUGGGUUCUACUCACUCAUCACUUAUUUCUUGUAACAGACAAAAAAUAACUCACCAAUGAAGAAACUGAGGCUCAGCGACACCAAUAAAUACACAAAAGUUCAAACAGCUAGUCAGAGAAGAUCCAGGAAUCAAAUUCUACUCCAACCAACUUCAAGGGCCAAGCUCUUCAGUUUUUCGUUUUUUGAAAGAACUAAGGUCAGAGGCUACCAAUUAUGUCUCACUUCGGGGUUGAAGAGAACAUAUAA